UACCCGCAGCACAAGUGGUGGUCAUUAUUAUUGGGCCUAAAGCGUCCGUAGCUGGCUUGUUAGAUGCCUGGGUAAAUCGAUGCGCUCAACGUAUCGAACUCCGGGUAGACCGGCAAGCUUGGGACCGGGAGAGGCGUGAGCUACUCGAGGGGUAGGGGUAAAAUCCUGUAAUCCUCCGGGGACGACCAGUGGCGAAGGCGCUACACUAGAACGGCUCUGACAGUGAGGGACGAAGCCCUGGGGCGCAAACCGG
rnacentral:rRNA from 1 species